GUAUUUAUCGGGCCGUGGAGACAUCAUAAUCACGAAGGUGGUUUUCUCAGGGCGAGGUUUAGCCGUCGCACUUCGGAUGUGCUGAUCCUUGCGAUUUCCCCAAAUGUGAGAAAUUCGACUGCAUAGUUUGUGGGGGCGGGGGGGGGUGUGUGCGUUCGCGUUCGCGUUCU